rnacentral:lncRNA from 1 species
UUCAGAACUCCGAGUCAGACAUCACUAAUGUAAUUCUCAGGCUUCCGCUACGAACGACUGAGUUUAAAAGCUUAAUAUUUAGUGCGUUUUAAUAAGACUUUCUGUGUUAUAUUUAGAGUUGACUAAAGAGAAAGGGUCUCAAGAUUAAUUCAGAAUUCAAAUUACAAUGGGAGGAAAUCAUCUUGUCUUUUUGAUGCUUCUUCAGUGGACAGUUAUUGGUGGAGGGAUUUGUGAGCGUAAUGUGGAGGGUGUGUUACACGGUCGAGUGGAGCUCCACGCAUGCCAUAGACCCCAACAAACUGUGAGAAGAGUGGAAUGGGCUAAAUAUAAAAGUUCAUCAGCACCACGUCUGUUAUAUAUAUUUGAUCAGCCAAAUGACACUUCAUGCUUCUUCAACUCUUGCCAAAAUAUUCAGUUAAUUAAAGAGAAUAUGAGUCUUAUUUUUGUUAAUCUGACAAAAGAAGAUGAAGGUGUUUAUCAGAAUAAAUUAUUGCUUAAUUAUAGGACAGCAGAGUCAUGUAACAUCACUUUAUCUGUACUAUCUCCUCCGACUGCAUUAAGGAUAUCUGUGUCCAGUUCUAACUGCACUCUGACCCUGAGGUGUGAGGUGAGAGGACAGUUUCUGAACCUGCACUGGUUUUGGAACGGCCUCCUGCUGCUGCCAGAUGACCAGAGAAUCAGCAUCAGUGAGAGGAACCUGACUGUGCAUGUGUCUAACCUGAACCGCUCAGACUGGGGGACGUACACCUGUCGGGCUUCAAAUGAAGCUGGGACGUCAGAGGCACAUGUGAACAUCACAGAUAACAGUGCUACACUAUGUCAGGACAACAUACAAGAAGAAGAAGAAGAAGAAGAAGAAAAAGAACAACUUUCUACGAAGUUCCUGUACUUAAGUGGGCUCACACUUGGCACCACCAUGCUUUUGUCCAUCAUUUUAGUUUGCAUUUGCAAAAAUGAGAACGGAUAUAAGGAAUUCAUAUCCUCUCAGGCAGAAACUUCAGAGGUGGAGUUUUUGCCGUACCUUUAUGCAGACUUCAUAAAGCCCAAAGCUCUGCAGCAGGCUGCAGAUGAAGGGGAACUUGCUGAGGACUUUACCAAAGUUUUCUACAGUACUGCAGAAUAAGCUCCGCCCUCAAACUGCAGGGUAAUGGAACCACAGGUCUGAACAGUGGUCUUUUGAGAUGCAUUUUUUUACACUGAAAUGUAUUUGUGUGCACAAUUUCUACUGUAAAUAAAUUAGAUAUUAUUAGUUACUGAGGUACA